CCAACCGUUUCGGAAAUGUUUGCGGAUUUAAUAACCGCCACGCUGGCAAUAAAAGGCGGCGAGUUCUGAUACGAAAUCAUCUCUUCAUUCAGAAAGCAACAAAAUGAAUAAGUCAGCGCUUCUCCUCUUGCUUGUCAUCGGACUCCUUGUCCUCACUGAAACGAAAGCCGCCUCCCGUCGUCGUUAUUAUCCACAUGGUGCCGCACGUCGCAGAUGGCACUGGAACCAAAAGCAGACUGCUGAGAUUGCUGAUCUAGCUGCAAGCAUGAGAGAAGCUGGUAUUCAAUAACCAAACCAUGAAAUAAAAUACAUUUGGUUUCAAUAAACCUUCAUCCACUUGUGCGAU